rnacentral:rRNA from 1 species
AUUGAACGCUGGCGGCAGGCCUAACACAUGCAAGUCGAGCGAGCGGCGGACGGGUGAGUAAUGUAUGGGGACUGCCCGUUAGAGGGGGAUAACUACUGGAAACGGUGGCUAAUACCGCAUACUAUCGGAUAACCCAUAUGGGAUUAGCUAGUAGUUGGGGUAAAGGCUCACCUAGGCUACGAUCUCUAGCUGGUCUGAGAGGAUGAGCAGCAACACUGGGACUGAGACACGGCCCAGACUCCUACGGAGGCAUCAGUGGGGAAUAUUGCACAAUGGGCGCAAGCCUGAUGCAGCCAUGCCGCGUGUAUGAAGAAGGCCUUAGGGUUGUAAAGUACUUUCAGCGAGGAGGCGUUACCCGCAGAAGAAGCACCGGCUAACUCCGUGCCAGCCGCCGCGGUAAUAC